GAAUAUUCCUGACGGCGUUAGUUAACGCCGUCAGUGUGCGUGGCACGUGACCGCGCGUGGGCAGCGCGUAGACUGGGCGCGUGAGGGCGCGUGGGACCUCCAAAUUGAAUUCUGAAAAUUGUCACGCGUUCGUGACGUCGUGUAGAUCACCGUGGUGAAAAAUUAUACAGAGGAAGAAUGUAACCAAUCUAGGGGAGGCUCAGGAACCUACGAGACGUCGAUAUAAUCUGUUCCAGUAUAUGCAAAGGUGUGGUGACUAC